GACGAACCGAGCGAACGUUAUUCGGAAUCACUGGGCUUAAAGGGCGCGUAGGCGGGCCAUCAAGUCAGGGGUGAAAGCCCCCAGCUCAACUGGGGAAGUGCCUUUGAAACUGGUGGUCUCGAGGGGGAUAGGGGCAUGCGGAACUUCCGGUGGAGCGGUGAAAUGCGUAGAUAUCUGGAGGAACACCGGUGGCGAAGGCGGCAUUCUGGACCGACAUUGACGCUGAGGAGCGAAAGCCAGGGGAGCAAACGGG
rnacentral:rRNA from 1 species